rnacentral:snoRNA from 14 species
AUUGGCAAAUGAAGAAUUGAUUAAUUUAUGCUUAACCACUGAUGAACAGUGUUGACAAAACAUCUCCGCUUAUUAUCUGAUGCCAUA